UACGAAGGGGGCUAGCGUUGUUCGGAAUCACUGGGCGUAAAGGGCGCGUAGGCGGCCGAUCAAGUCGGGGGUGAAAGCCUGUGGCUCAACCACAGAAUUGCCUUCCAUACUGUUUGGCUUGAGACCGGAAGAGGUUAGUGGAACUGCGAGUGUAGAGGUGAAAUUCGUAGAUAUUCGCAAGAACACCAGUGGCGAAGGCGGCUGACUGGUCCGGUUCUGACGCUGAGGCGCGAAAGCGUGGGGAGCAAACAGG
rnacentral:rRNA from 1 species